UGAGGGAAUAUUUGGGGUCAAUGGACGAGAGUCUGAACCAGCCAAGUCGCGUGAAGGAAGACGGAUCUAUGGUUUGUAAACUUCUUUAGUGCGGGAACAAAGCGGCGUCGUGACGCCGGAUGAGUGUACCGCAAGAAUAAGCAUCGGCUAACUCCGUGCCAGCAGCCGCGGUAAUACGGAGGAUGCGAGCGUUAUCCGGAUUUAUUGGGUUUAAAGGGAGCGCAGGCUGCGAGGCAAGUCAGCGGUCAAAUGUCGGGGCUCAACCCCGGCCUGCCGUUGAAACUGUCCUGCUAGAGUUCGAGUGAGGUAUGCGGAAUGCGUUGUGUAGCGGUGAAAUGCAUAGAUAUGACGCAGAACUCCGAUUGCGAAGGCAGCAUACCAACUCGCGACUGACGCUGAGGCUCGAAGCGUGGGGUA
rnacentral:rRNA from 1 species